AUGGCGGACGAAGCUGCCGCACGCCGGAGUUUGCUUGGUGUGUGGAGAGGGCCAAAGGACAAGAUGCUUCAAUCCGGCGAGGACAGAGCCAAAGGACCAAAGUUUGUUCAUCUGUUGCCAAGUUUGGUACCAUCCCGUGGGGAGGGCCAGGGACAAGCUGCUCCGAUCCGGCCAGGAUGCCCACCAUCUAUUGUUGCCAAGGGUGCCCUUGGUGAAGUGAAGAAGGAUGACAAGGCAACCAUGUUCGUCAAGAUCGGCGACCAGAAGUUAGCCAUCAGGACCCUCUCUACUGACAAGUUCCCUCAGAUUCAGUUCGACCUCGUCUUUGAGAAGGAGUUUGAGCUGUCACACAAUUCCAAGACAUCCAGCCUGCUAAGGGAGAUGAAUAUCCUUUUCUAUAGUACUGCUGCUUGGAGCUGUGGAAUUAGCAAGCUUAGGGAAGUGCAAAAAGCUGACUCAACUGCAAUUGCACAUGUUGUUACACAUGAAAACGUCGAUCCCUAUGCUCGAACUGAGAAAUCUGACCUCCCAGAUUACCUUGUACCAAAGAUGGGGAUGGUGUUCGAGGACUUCGAAGCAGGCAGAGUGUUCUACAAUAGAUACGCCAGGCACGUUGGCUUUGGAACAAGAAUUGGACAGAAGAGUGGUUUCAAUAGAUACCUGUACUGCACACGUGAAGGGGAGCACGUGAGCUCUGAUUCUGAAUCUGAGUGUCGGGACAAGACGACAAAGCGAUGUGGAUGCAAGGCGAAGCUGCGAUUAAAGGGGAAUGAGCACGAUGAUACAGUAGUCAUUGUCGACAUCAAUUUUGAGCACAACCACCAACUAAUACAGAGCCCUUCCAUGCUUGUGUUUCUUCAUUCCCACAAGUCAUUUGACCCCACUAUAUUGGAUUAUGUUAAGUUCCUCCAGUUCCAGAAUGUUCAGCACCAUACAAUUAUGUCUAUCCUAUAUGGAUCCCUCGGUGGCGGAAGCUUCUUAACUCUUAAGGAAGAUAGCAUCGAUGACGUGAAGAAGCUGUUGGGAUUCUUUGCUGAGAUGAAAGCAGUAAAUAAUGAAUUCUUCUUCGACUUCCAGAUUGAUGAGUUUGGUCACAUAAAGAACAUCUUCUGGGCUAAUGCAAGCUGCAGGGGCGCGUACCAAGAUUUUGGUGAUGCGAUGACAUUUGACACCACUUAUAAGACAAAUCAGUACCUUAUGCCUUUGGGAGUAUUUGUAGGAGUAAACAAUCAUCUCCAGUCAACAAUAUUCGCGUGUGCCCUUGUAAGGGAUGAAUGUGAAGAAUCUUUUGCUUGGCUAUUCAGAACCUUCUUGGAAUGCAACAAUGGGAAGCAACCUACAAUAAUUUUAACAGACCAGUGCCCUUCGAUGACCCCUGCGAUAAAACAAGUUUUCACCAGACAGGAAGGAAUGGAUAUAGGCUUACUUCAAAGAGGUUUUCUCUGCAAGGAUGACUUCGACUCAACGAAGAGGCAAGUUGAAAAUGCACAGACAUUGGCAUCAAUGACAGAACCAAACACAAGAACUUAUUACGGUUUUGAGAAGCAGUUCAGUGAGCACUAUACAAAAGCCGUAUUCACCGAGUUCAGGAGGAAACUUAAAAAUAGCACACUCUUCCGCAUAAAGACAAGCCAGGAUCCUACAGUUGACAAACAUAAUUAUCUUGUGUCCUACCAUGAGCCAACGGAUACGUUCUCAUGGUCAAACCAUGAGUUCAAAGUUGUUGCGAACACUGAGACCGAGGAAUACAGCUGCGAGUGCAUGCUGUUUGAGCAUACAGGUCUGUUCUGCGUGCACAUAAUUGCAAUGCUCGAGCACCUGAGAGUGAAGAGUGUACCUGAUAUCUACAUACUAAAGAGGUACACUACGAGAGCGAAGGCAAGGGAAACAUUUGACAGGAGAGACUACAAGACUGAAUCAUUUGACGGGUCUUCGUUCCUGCAUCAACAAAAUGAACUUCUCCAAAUAGCUUUGAAAAUUGUGAGAACAGGAGGCAAGUCAGACGACCAGCACGUAACAUCGAAAGCUGGCCUGCUAGAAGUGUUAAACAGGGUUGAAGCAGUGGGUUCAUCAACAGCAGCUGAUGAUGAUGAUGGUGAUGCAUGCACUCCACCAGAUAUAAACCAGUUUGAGCCUGACUUAUCAACAGAGAUGCCGAGAACAUCGCAUGACGAUGAUGACAUGCCUAGUACUGGAUGCAAUGCUCAAUCUGUAACUAAGGCUAUCUUACCUCCACCAAUAUCAAAAACUAAGGGAAGCAGGUAUAAGAACACAGCUGAAUCGAGACCAUCGGUGGCUGGAAAGAAAAUGAAGCUGGAAGAAGCAGUCCUAAAAACAGAUGACAAAACUGAAACAGGGAAGAAGAAAUGUGCUACUGUGCAAACCAAUUUCAGACUUAAAAAUAUGCUGAUUUGGAUGGAUGAGUACAAUUUACUUGUUAUAUUGCUGUAA
rnacentral:rRNA from 1 species